rnacentral:miRNA from 1 species
GCAGAUAUUGAUCGCAGUGACAGGCUGUCUCUGCGAUCUGAUCGCAGAGACAGCCUCUCACUGCGAUCUGAUCGCAGUGACAGCCUGUCACUGCAAUCAGAGUU